rnacentral:rRNA from 1 species
AGUGAACGCUGGCGGUAGGCCUAACACAUGCAAGUCGAACGGCAGCACAGUAAGAGCUUGCUCUUACGGGUGGCGAGUGGCGGACGGGUGAGGAAUACAUCCGAAUCUACUUUUUCGUGGGGGAUAACGUAGGGAAACUUACGCUAAUACCGCAUCCGACCUACGGUUGAAAGCAUGGGAUCUUCUGACCGUGCGGGGUUGAAUUAGCCGAUGUCGGAUUAGCUAGUUGGCGGGGUAAAGACCCACCAAGGCGACGAUCCGUAGCUGGUCUGAGAGGAUGGUCAGCCACAUGAGAACGGAGCCGCGGUCCAGACGACUACGGGACGGAGCAGUGGGGAAUAUUGGACAAUGGGCGCAAACCUGAUCCAGCCAUAGCGCGUGGGUGGAAAAGACGUUCGGGUUGUGAAGCCGUUUUGUUGGGAAAGAAAAGCAGCAGGUUAAUACCCCGCUGUUCUGACGGUACUCAAAGAAUAAGCACCGGCUAACUUCGUG